UCCCGUUCAGUUAGCCCAAAUGCCUGCAGUGGCCAAGGCUGGGCCAGGCUAAAGCCCGGAGCCAAGGACUCAGUCCCAAUCUCCCACAUGAGUGACACUAAUUUCACCCUUGCGCCAUCACCUGCUGGAUCCCAGGGUCUGCAUCAGCAGGACGGCCUGUGUAAAGAGCAUUGCAGAAUACACACAGAGACAGGCAACAUCUGGACACAUCUCUAAGCAGUCAAAACCUAAAAUUGCAUGUCUCUAAGUGGGCCUCCAGAGCCCAGUGCAGCAAGGAGCCCCCAUCCCCAUCUGACCACACAGAACUUCCCAGGGUGAGGAGAGGAAGCACAGCAGGGCGCCCUGGUGUCCAGGAGGAGGAAGAAAAGGUUCCCCAAGGGCGGCGGGGCAUCCAGCGGAGGAAUCCUGCGUGGUGCUGACGCGGAGGGAUUGGCCGCUUGGUCACUUCCUGCGAGAUGCUGCGGCCUCGCACACUCAGUCAGUGAAGAGC